CUCGCCUUGGCUGCCAGGUCACUUUGAUGUGGCCCAGACAUUUCUUGUUACAUCAACAAUGGCUGGAUGCUUUCUGGACAGACCUCAGAGAGAGAGAGAGAGAGAGAGAGAGAAGGGGAAAGAACAGGGGAUGGGGACAACGCAACACAAAAUUCACCCAAAGACGUGCAGCCUAGUGGCAGGUGGCUGUCAACCGGGGCGGUGGCAGAUUGAGCAUCCCAAAUCCAGGAAUAGGAAAUAUGAAACACUUGCUGUCCUGAACAGGGCAGAUAAGGGAUAAUAAACCUGUGUGAAUAAACAACUUAUUUCCAUCUAUAAAUGGUUGGAUCCAGUUUUAUAAAUAGUAAAACUUCUAUUUGUGCCACUGAGUUUUGGGAUGGUUUCCUGUGCAGCUAUCAAGAAUAUCCCACUCCUCUGCCUGAUUGGGACGCUCCCCAUUCCCUGUCCUGCUCUCCACCUCUCCCUGCCCUCUCUUCUGCUGGCAGUGGCCUCUCCUGAGUUCCUAAUCGGUGCUCCCUGGGAGCCAAUCCAUCUCCCAAAGGCCUGGAGCUUCGUAGUCCCCAGAGCCUGGGCAUCCUCCUUCCGCGGUGCUCCUCACUGCCACCUGCAUUGCCACGUGUGGCUCUGCCUUCUCUUCUCCUCCCGUGCUAACUCCAGAGUGCCAUUCCUGGUCCUCCACAACGCCUGGCGCACGCUGAGCACAUGUUCUGAGUUCUACGUUCAUAGGUUAGAGCACAGUGCUCUUGUGCAAGUGUCACACUGAGUCUGACGUGCAUCGAGCCACGCAGGACAUCACGGUUAGAGCUCGAAUGAUUGAAGUCAGAACACAAAGAGCAAAGGGGCGAGGUAACUCCAAUCUUCAAAUCCCCUGGACCCCUUUAUAACACUGGUGUUUAAGAAACAGGAUUGACAGUUUAGUCAAUACGUCGUUUCAUGCUUUUUGCAAUGUAGAAGGGCUAUGUUUUUGAGGACACGACUGGACUGCAUCCUACCAAGUGUUUCCAAGGAACCAAGGGACACAUUUAGACAGGUAGGCAGAGACAGAUGAGACACACAGAGAAGACAGAUGAUGGACCCUUAGUGUAACUCACUGAGGACUACUAUUAGGAGCAGUACACUCACAGGCUGAAGGAAAAAUGAAUUAAUUCCUACACAUCAAGGACGAGGGCCAGCUGGGGAGAAUGCAGUAUUGUUUCCCAGCAGAGGACAUCUGAAACCAGAGGGAAGGUGAUUUUCUAAGGGUGUCCUGAGCCUGAUCCAUGACAACAGACUUUGAAGAGACUCCGCUGUGCUGUGGUCACUGUCGCCCGGGCAGUGCUGGGUCCAGGGCCUGGGCUGUAAGAGCCGUGGGGGUCCAGGGUGACUUGUGUGUUGGUGGUGGGUUAUUACUGCCUUGGGCGCCUCUCCUUGCUCCUUUUCCCUGCUUUGCAGCCAGGUAGAAUUUCAAAGAAAAUUAAAAUACAGGACGGAUGAGGACCCUGUUGGGAAAGGAAACAUGAGUGUGUCUUCCCCUACCCACUUCCUCUGCCUCUGCUACUGUGGCUCUGUCUCUUACCUCUAUAGAGCCACUUGUCAGCUUGGCCCCAAGAGCCUCUCCCUCCCUCCCGCGCGUGUAACUCGGCCUUUCUCCUGCCCUCGCUCUCGGCGAGCUUAGUUUUAGAUGGGGUUUUAGCUUAGGCAAAAAAAUAAAGUAUGGAGAUGCUAACUACUUUUAAAACAACUAUGUUUAGAAAGAUUUUAAAAACCAAAUUCUUGAGUUAAACCUGUUAUCAGUGCACCUUUAAUGAAUAUCAUAUAGUUUAGAAGGACCCGGAAUAAUUUCAAGUUUUAUUUGACAUCAUGAAGUGACUAGGCGUUACCCUGACUAUAACAACAAUGACGGCAAUUCCCUGGCUUUAUCAAACAGAUAAGGCACACGCCUGUGAAUCAAGGUGCUGAGAGUCGCAAGUAGCUGGGAUGGAUUUUUAACAGGAGUUUGAGGUCAAAUAGCAGUAAGAUCUUAAAGGAAAUAAGAAUCUAACAUUUGAAAUGAUUAAACACAUGCAAUGGCUGAGGAGUUUAAUAUAUGAAACAGUUUCAGUUACCCUUAAGUUUGAGAAUUCUAGA